AUUGAACGCUGGCGGCAGGCCUAACACAUGCAAGUCGAGCGGAUGAAGGGAGCUUGCUCCUGGAUUCAGCGGCGGACGGGUGAGUAAUGCCUAGGAAUCUGCCUGGUAGUGGGGGAUAACGUCCGGAAACGGGCGCUAAUACCGCAUACGUCCUGAGGGAGAAAGUGGGGGAUCUUCGGACCUCACGCCAUCAGAUGAGCCUAGGUCGGAUUAGCUAGUUGGUGGGGUAAAGGCCUACCAAGGCGACGAUCCGUAACUGGUCUGAGAGGAUGAUCAGUCACACUGGAACUGAGACACGGUCCAGACUCCUACGGGAGGCAGCAGUGGGGAAUAUUGGACAAUGGGCGAAAGCCUGAUCCAGCCAUGCCGCGUGUGUGAAGAAGGUCUUCGGAUUGUAAAGCACUUUAAGUUGGGAGGAAGGGCAGUGAGUUAAUACCUUGCUGUUUUGACGUUACCAACAGAAUAAGCACCGGCUAACUUCGUG
rnacentral:rRNA from 1 species